rnacentral:rRNA from 1 species
UACAGAGGGGGCAAGCGUUGUUCGGAAUUACUGGGCGUAAAGGGCGCGUAGGCGGCCUCUUAAGUCGAACGUGAAAUCCCCGGGCUCAACCCGGGAACUGCGUCCGAUACUGGGGGGCUUGAAUCCGGGAGAGGGAUGUGGAAUUCCAGGUGUAGCGGUGAAAUGCGUAGAUAUCUGGAGGAACACCGGUGGCGAAGGCGGCAUCCUGGACCGGUAUUGACGCUGAGGCGCGAAAGCCAGGGGAGCAAACGGG